AGAAGCUAAUAAGAGCUUACGGAGGAUGCCUUGGCGUCAAAUGCCGAAGAAGGACGUGGGACACUGCGAAAAGUUUCGGGGAGCUGUGAACAAGCGCCGAUCCGAAAAUAUCCGAAUGGGGAAACCCGGCUGGAAGAACUCCAGUCAUCCGCACCUGAAUAUAUAGGGUGUGGAAGGGAACCCGGGGAACUGAAACAUCUAAGUACCCGGAGGAAAAGAGAAGAUUCCCAAAGUAGUGGCGAGCGAAAUGGGAACAGCCCAAACCAUCGCAAGAUGGGGUUGUAGGACCGCGAGAUGAAACUUAAGCGUUAGUGGAAAGGUGUGGGAAAGCCUGCCAAAGAGGGUGAUAGCCCCGUAGACGAAAACGCGAGAGUGGAUAGCGGGAUCCUGAGUACCGCCGGGCACGCUAAUCCGGUGGGAAGCUGGGGAGACCACUCUCCAAGGCUAAAUACAUUUGACGACCGAUAGAGAAAAAGUACCGUGAGGGAAAGGUGAAAAGUACCCCGGUGAGGGGAGUGAAAAAGAAUCUGAAACCGUAAGCUUACAAGCAGUCGGAGGGCAAUGGUAUGACGGUGCUGUGGAGAGAUCCAUGUGCGCGGUACCAGGCCUGACGGCGUGCCUUUUGGAGAAUGAGCCUGCGAGUUAAUUGAUGUGGCGAGGUUAAGGGAGAGACACCCGGAGCCGAAGCGAAAGCGAGUCUGAAUAGGGCGUCGAGUCGCAUUGAUUAGACCCGAAACCAGGUGAGCUACCCAUGUCCAGGGUGAAGGCGUUGUAAAAGGCGCUGGAGGCCCGAACCUACUAACGUUGCAAAGUUAGGGGAUGAGGUGUGGGUAGAGGUGAUAUGCCAAACGAACCUGGAGAUAGCUGGUUCUCCCCGAAAUAGCUUUAGGGCUAGCGCUGCAUGUUUAGUUAUGGAGGUAGAGCACUGGAUGGGCUAGGGGGCUUAGAGCUUACCAAACCCAACCAAACUCCGAAUGCCAUGAUUUGAGAGUGCAGUAGUCGGACUACGGGAGAUGAGUUUCGUGGUCGAGAGGGAAAGAGCCCAGAUCAUCGGCUAAGGUCCUCAAGUGCAAGCUAAGUGGGAAACGAUGUGAGAUUACAAAAACAACCAGGAGGUUGGCUUAGAAGCAGCCAUCCUUUAAAGAGUGCGUAACAGCUCACUGGUCAAGUGAUUUUGCGCGGAAAAUGUAACGGGGCUAAGCUUGCCACCGAAGCCAUGAACUUCGAAAGAAGUGGUAGGGGAGCGUUCUACGAGCGGAGAAGGUAUACCGCAAGGAGUACUGGAGCGAGUAGAAGUGAGAAUGCAGGCAUGAGUAGCGUAAAACACGUGAGAACCGUGUUCACCGUAAGUCUAAGGUUUCCGGCGGAAGGUCAAUCCGCGCCGGGUUAGUCGGGGCCUAAGGAGAGGCCGAGAGGCGUAUCCGAUGGACAGCUGGUCAAUAUUCCAGCACCACGAGCAGGGAGCGAAGCGGGGACGCGACGAGGUAGGCCAGCCUGGGGAUGGUAGUCCAGGUGAAUGCCAUGUCAGACGAAGAGAUAGGUAGGGAAGACCGCCUGUUGAGUUGAGAUGGUGUUGCGAGCGCAAGACGCAUAAGUGAGUUGAGCCUUGUAGCCAAGAAAAGCCGCUAAGUGAUGAACUGCUGGUGCCCGUACCGCAAACCGACACUGGUAGACGAGUAGAGAAUACUAAGGUGAACGGGAGAACCUUCGUCAAGGAAUUAGGCAAAAUGGCCCCGUAACUUCGGGAGAAGGGGUGCCUCAAAUUGUGACUGGCAACAGGUAGCGAAGAGAGGUUGCAGUGAAAUGGCCCAAGUGACUGGUUAACAAAACCACAGGUCUCUGCAAAGUCGUAAGACGAUGUAUAGGGGCUGACGCCUGCCCAGUGCCGGAAGGUUAAAAGGAGAGGUUAGCGCAAGCGAAGCUUUGAAUUGAAGCCCCGGUGAACGGCGGCCGUAACUAUAACGGUCCUAAGGUAGCGAAAUUCCUUGUCGGGUAAGUUCCGACCCGCACGAACGGCGUAACAACUUGGGCGCUGUCUCGACGAAGGACCCGGUGAAAUUGAAAUGGCUGUGAAGAUGCGGCCUACCCGCAGCAGGACAAAAAGACCCCGUGGAGCUUUACUGCAGCUUGACAUUGAAUCUGGGCAUCAUUUGUGUAGGAUAGGUGGGAGUCAGAGAAGCUAGGACGUCAGUCUUGGUGGAGACGACAGUGAAAUACCACCCUGGUGAUGUUUAUAUUCUAACCCCUGGCCGUAAACCGGCAGGGGGACCGUGUCAGGUGGGCAGUUUGACUGGGGCGGUCGCCUCCUAAAGAGUAACGGAGGCGCCCAAAGGUUCCCUCAGGCUGAAUGGAAACCAGCCGAAGAGUGUAAAGGCAGAAGGGAGCUUGACUGUGAGACCAACGCGUCGAGCAGAGACGAAAGUCGGGCUUAGUGAUCCUACGGUACAGAGUGGAAUGGCCGUAGCUUACCGGAUAAAAGCUACCCCGGGGAUAACAGGCUAGUGAGGUCCAAGAGUCCAUAUCGACGACCUCGCUCGGCACCUCGAUGUCGGCUCAUCGCAUCCUGGGGCUGCAUACGGUCCCAAGGGUUGGGCUGUUCGCCCAUUAAAGCGGUACGCGAGCUGGGUUCAGACCGUCGUGAGACAGGUCGGUCUCUAUCCGCUGUGGGCGUAAGGAACUUGAGGAGAGCUGUCCCUAGUACGAGAGGACCGGGAUGGACAGACCUCUGGUGUGUCAGUUGUCGUGCCAACGGCAUAGCUGAGUAGCCAACGUCUGGCAGAGAUAACCGCUGAAAGCAUCUAAGUGGGAAACUUGCUUCAAGAUAAGGUUCCUGAUACUCGAAAGAGAUAAGACCGCAGGAAGACUACCUGCUAGAUAGGCAGCGUGUGGAAGGGCAGCAAUGUCUGGAGCUAAGCUGUACUAAUGGUCGAAGGCUUCUCGUG
rnacentral:rRNA from 1 species